GAGAUGAUUGCUUAAUUAAUCUGUGUAUUGUGCUAAUGAGGAUGUUAAAUGGGUUCAUCCCUGAAUUUGAUUGUUCACAAAGAAUGUGAAUUUCCUAAAGGGCAAAUAUAGACAGAUUUUCUAUUAACAUGAACCAUCCAACCAAGAAGCUCUUUUAGUCAUUUUGAAGUUUAAAAGGGUAGCAGAUAAUUUCAAAAUAGCUUCAUGACAUUUCUAGUGGCUACAUGUGAGAUAUUAUUACCAUAUCUCCUGAAGCUGUUUGCCAGUUCCUUUGGGAAAGAAUUUUAUAUUACAAUUCUUAAAUAGAUACUGACUUUUAUUUUCUAUCAAGACUCCUCAGGGUGCAGCAUAAAUUAAACUUGUGGCACUUAUCUUUCACAAGCAGACUUUGGAGGGGUUGGGAAAUAGCAGAUGCCAAUAGUGUCAUCGUUCAGUCAAGAAUCCAUUAUGUUAAAAAACAUUCCAUACAGGUCAGCCAUGGUUGUGCAUGCCUGUAGUCCCAGCUAUUUGGAAGACCAAGGUGGGAGGAUCACUUCAGCCCAGGAAUUUGAGGCUGCAAAGAGCUAUGAUGGUGCCACUGCAUGCCAGCCUAAGUGACACAGCAAGACCUUGUCUCUAAAAUAAAUAAAUAAAUUCAUCCCAAAUGCAAUAUCAUUAAGCCAGAAGAAGAUAAUAGGGAUGGAUGGGGGAGUUGCAUGUGUGUGUUUAAAGAUCCCAGCAUACACAGAGGAAAGAAACUGGGCCCCUACCUGUUUGCCUAUCAGCCUCCUGGCGGGUAAGGAAUGUGAGGAGACAGUAUCUGGCAGUGGCGAAAGACAGAUCAUUUCCUACAAAUCCUGGAGGUGUUCGUUCACGUCCCUGUCUGGACCCAAGAUGGCGACUGGCGUUCUUCCGACUUCAGCCACGCAUGGAUCAUACCCAGCCACCAGUGACCACGCGUGA
rnacentral:lncRNA from 1 species